rnacentral:rRNA from 1 species
GACGAACGCUGGCGGCGUGCCUAAUACAUGCAAGUAGAACGCUGAAGAGAGGAGCUUGCUCUUCUUGGAUGAGUUGCGAACGGGUGAGUAACGCGUAGGUAACCUGCCUUGUAGCGGGGGAUAACUAUUGGAAACGAUAGCUAAUACCGCAUAACAAUGGAUGACACAUGUCAUUUAUUUGAAAGGGGCAAUUGCUCCACUACAAGAUGGACCUGCGUUGUAUUAGCUAGUAGGUGAGGUAAUGGCUCACCUAGGCGACGAUACAUAGCCGACCUGAGAGGGUGAUCGGCCACACUGGGACUGAGACACGACCCAGACUCCUACGGGAGGCAGCAGUAGGGAAUCUUCGGCAAUGGGGGCAACCCUGACCGAGCAACGCCGCGUGAGUGAAGAAGGUUUUCGGAUCGUAAAGCUCUGUUGUAAGCCAAGAACGGGUGUGAGAGUGGAAAGUUCACACUGUGACGGUAGCUUACCAGAAAGGGACGGCUAACUACGUG